UCCAUCUCCCUCCUCUCACCUUGUUCGGACAUUAUCCGCGAAAUGGCCGUCCUGAACCCCACCAGCAGCCACACCACUGCUGGACCGUUUUCCUCCUUUGUUUUCACUUCUACUGGUUUCUGCUCCAGCUGACCUUUUGCCAAAGAUCCGAGUAAAAAGUCAACUUCCCGGAUAAAUCAGUAAACGAGACACCCAUCGUUGUGAAGAGGACAUCCAGACCGUUCCAUUAAGCCUGACCUCGCCCCGAACGAAGCUGCCGGCCGUCCUGUACGGCCGUCUCAAGCCGCCAGUCACCGGUCCGUCGGUCCCCUGCCCGCCUGCACUGUUUCGCGAUUUUCUUCGUUUUUCUCCCAUUCCGACCCUUCCUUUGGCUGUUCCAUCAACCUACAAGAUCCCCAAGACCCCGGGAGCUACCGAUUGCCGACCACCCACUCGCCGGAGCUCCGAUUAACCCGUUUCUUCGCCUUUCGGCCCUCAAAUCAGACGGGGAAAGCAGUGGGUUUCCAGCAAGGUGUCGGGCCCGUUUUGGAGGUGUUCCGGGCCUUGAAACCUAGGCCUGCUUUGAGAAGAAACGUCCCCCGAGACAUUCCUGUUGGUUUGAUCCGACCAGCUCGUUAAACAAGUCCUUAGAUGGCUGUGGUGAAGGACCGGAGGCCCGAAUGUAGAAGGUGAAGCCUAAAAAAUUGACGAUCCUAUUGGACUAGUUAGUCAUAGGACAAUUCUCUUUUGAUGGAAGUUGAUUUCUUUCUGCAGACUUUGUUUUAUGAACCGGUGGUUUAAAACCAGAUUUAACAAUUCGCCUUGUAUAUAUUUGCACUAUGAUUUGCAAUGUGUAUAAGUGUGGUUGCUUUUAAA